rnacentral:lncRNA from 10 species
UUGAUGGACGGAUGGCUACAUGGAUGUGAUGGAGAUGGUUUACUAUCGGGACCUUCCGCACCCUGCUGAUGUUUUGUUGCUUAGGAUAUGAAUGGCUGAGCGGAGGCUGUAAAACCUGGCACUCUGCUUGGGUAUGAGGUUCUUCCUGCCAUCCUGCCAUCAUUUGUUUUUUAUGUUUUGUCGCCAAAAGUGACCUUGAGGAACCCUGGGAGCUCAGGAAGGAAGGAGCGCCCAGAAGCAGGGACAGGGAGCUGGUUGGGGAGGACCAGAAAUCAGGUGCCCAACAGCCCCCUUCUCCUCCUUUCCCUUCCCUUACUUCCCCCCUUCCCCUCCCCUUCCCUUCCCC